UGGGGAAUUUUGCGCAAUGGACGAAAGUCUGACGCAGCAACGCCGCGUGGGUGAUGAAGGUCUUCGGACUGUAAAACCCUGUCGUCAGGGACGAAGGUACUUGCGUUAAUAGCGUGAGUGCUUGACGGUACCUGGAGAGGAAGCCCCGGCUAACUCUGUGCCAGCAGCCGCGGUAAUACAGAGGGGGCAAGCGUUAUUCGGAAUUAUUGGGCGUAAAGGGCGCGUAGGCGGUUUUUUAAGUCAGAUGUGUAAUCCCCGAGCUCAACUUGGGAACUGCAUCUGAGACUGGAAGGCUAGAGUACUGGAGAGGGUGGUGGAAUUCCUCGUGUAGCGGUGAAAUGCGUAGAGAUGAGGAGGAACACCAGUGGCGAAGGCGGCCACCUGGACAGUAACUGACGCUGAGGCGCGAAAGCGUGGGGAUCAAACAGG
rnacentral:rRNA from 1 species